UCUCGACGAAUCCUUCACCACCUUCUGCGCAUCACGAAAAAUGCAAACACCCGCAGAAUUAGCUUAAUUAUCAAAACGACGAUGAGCGGAAAUCUCGUUUGAGAUGAAAAGUAAUUAAUACAGGAUUGCAAAAUUAAGCAGUCCACAGUCAUGGAUAACGAAAACAAAAAGGGGCAGAAUUACAUGAGUACCUGACCGGAGCGGCCGAGAGUGAUAGUUACUUGAGGCUUCGCCAUUUUAUAAAUUUCUCAAUCAAUUGCUUCUACGGCUGAGUUGACUCAUUAAUACAGAGGUUUCUGUACUCGCAACCGUUGACGAGCACGCGAAUCAACCUAGGGUUGCAAAAAUUAGUUAACUGGAAUUUUCCGAUUGUAGGCGGAGAAAUGGCUGGGGGAAAACAGAUGGAGAACAUAUGACGAAGAGCAUGAGGAAGAAUUGGCAUUGCUAAAUCGACGAUCAUCACUGCUCCGAAAAGACUCCGACGACGGUCUUUUGCUUCCGGAUAGCACCAAAGCAUUCCGGCGAACUCCAUUGGAAUCUCUCGACGAAUCCUUCACCAGCUUCUGCGCAUCACGAAAAAUGCAAACACAGGCUAUAAACAGCCUUAAAGAAAGAACAACCCAAAAUUCUGCAUUGAUGAUCUACCAUCUGCCACUACGGAGAGCGAAUAAACAACCGUCAGUAUGAUUACUUUAAUUUUACAUUCGAAAAGACGAAAAUAGAUGAAAACUUGCCAAAUAGUCCUCCCUCACACCCGACGACGGUCUUUUGCUUCCGGAUAGCACCAAAGCAUUCCGGCGAACUCCAUUAGAAUCUCUCGACGAAUCCUUCACCAGCUUCUGCGCAUCACGAAAAAUGCAAACACAGGCUAUAAACAGCCUUAAAGAAAGAACAACCCAAAAUUCUGCAUUGAUGAUCUACCAUCUGCCACUACGGAGAGCGAAUAAACAACCGUCAGUAUGAUUACUUUAAUUUUACAUUCGAAAAGACGAAAAUAGAUGAAAACUUGCCAAAUAGUCCUCCCUCACACCAAAUUUGGUUUGAAUAAAGUUGGAGUGUAGCCGCGUAGGUAAGCAAUUGCCAGUAACAGCCGGUCGAGCAAAUUCAAUAAUUUCUGCAUCGAUUAACAAUAAGAGGUAACUAAGCAAGCAUAUUUACCAAUUAAAUAUCUGGACGAGGAAAGCUAAAGACAAAAAAAUAUGCUGAAAUGUCCUACAAAAAGAAAUUCAAUUUAUAUAUGCUGAUCAACAUAUGCCUUUAUACAUUUGAACAAUUCAAUAAGAGUCAAAACCGUUAGCAAUAAAGAAAAUUUACUUCUUUGUUCAAUGAAGGCAAGAUAUGAAUGAAAAACAACGAACAAAAAUAUUGUUAUUGAUAAAAGUAGGCAGAAGUUUGAAACUUGUUACCCGAUAUUUUCUCAAGCAAGACUAAAUAGUGGUCCGAUAUCCAUUCAUACUCUUUCUCCCCCACUUACUGCAAUAUCGGACACAAUUCAUCCCCCGCCC
rnacentral:lncRNA from 1 species